rnacentral:rRNA from 1 species
CGAAGGUCCCGAGCGUUAUCCGGAUUUAUUGGGUUUAAAGGGUGCGUAGGCGGGCUAUUAAGUCAGUGGUGAAAGCCCCAAGCUUAACUUGGGAACUGCCAUUGAUACUGAUGGUCUUGAGUACAUUUGAGGUGGGCGGAAUGUGUCAUGUAGCGGUGAAAUGCUUAGAUAUGACACAGAACACCGAUUGCGAAGGCAGCGCACUAAACUGUAACUGACGCUGAGGCACGAAAGCGUGGGGAGCAAACAGGAUUAGAUACCCUGGUAGUCCACGCCCUAAACGAUGAUCACUCGAUGUGUGCGAUAUACUGUACGCGUCUGAGCGAAAGCAUUAAGUGAUCCACCUGGGGAGUACGACCGCAAGGUUG